rnacentral:rRNA from 1 species
UGGGGAAUAUUGGACAAUGGGCGAAAGCCUGAUCCAGCCAUGCCGCGUGUGUGAAGAAGGUCUUCGGAUUGUAAAGCACUUUAAGUUGGGAGGAAGGGCAGUAAGCGAAUACCUUGCUGUUUUGACGUUACCGACAGAAUAAGCACCGGCUAACUCUGUGCCAGCAGCCGCGGUAAUACAGAGGGUGCAAGCGUUAAUCGGAAUUACUGGGCGUAAAGCGCGCGUCGGUGGUUCGUUAAGUUGAAUGUGAAAGCCCCCGGCUCAACCUGGGAACUGCAUCCAAAACUGGCGAGCUAGAGUAGGGCAGAGGGUGGUGGAAUUUCCUGUGUAGCGGUGAAAUGCGUAGAUAUAGGAAGGAACACCCGUGGCGAAGGCGACCACCUGGGCUCAUACUGACACUGAGGUGCGAAAGCGUGGGGAGCAAACAGG